UCACAGUGGCCUGGUGACUGACACCAACU
rnacentral:piRNA from 1 species